UAACACAUGCAAGUCGAGCGGGAACGGAUGGUAGUUUGCUACCGUUUGUUUCUAGCGGCGGACGGGUGAGUAACGCGUGAGCAACCUGCCUUUAUCAGGGGGAUAACACACCGAAAGGUGUACUAAUACCGCAUAAGACCACGGGAUCACAUGGUUCUGGGGUAAAAGAUUUAUCGGUUUGGGGUGGGCUCGCGUCCGAUUAGGUAGUUGGUGAGGUAACGGCCCACCAAGCCGACGAUCGGUAGCCGACCUGAGAGGGUGAUCGGCCACAUUGGGACUGAGACACGGCCCAAACUCC
rnacentral:rRNA from 1 species